rnacentral:rRNA from 1 species
AACGAACGCUGGCGGCAUGCCUAACACAUGCAAGUCGAACGAGACCUUCGGGUCUAGUGGCGCACGGGUGCGUAACGCGUGGGAACCUGCCCUUAGGUUCGGAAUAACUCCCCGAAAGGGGUGCUAAUACCGGAUAAUGUCUUCGGACCAAAGAUUUAUCGCCUUUGGAUGGGCCCGCGUUGGAUUAGCUAGUUGGUAGGGUAAAAGCCUACCAAGGCGACGAUCCAUAGCUGGUCUGAGAGGAUGAUCAGCCACACUGGGACUGAGACACGGCCCAGACUCCUACGGGAGGCAGCAGUGGGGAAUAUUGGACAAUGGGCGAAAGCCUGAUCCAGCAAUGCCGCGGGAGUGAUGAAGGCCUUAGGGUUGUAAAGCUCUUUUACCCGGGAUGAUAAUGACAGUACCGGGAGAAUAAGCUCCGGCGAACUCCGU